rnacentral:rRNA from 1 species
AUGCGAUACCUAGUGUGAAUUGCAGAAUUCCGCGAAUCAUCGAGUCUUUGAACGCAAGUUGCGCCCGAGGCUCGUACCGAGGGCAUGUCUGUCUGAGCGUCCA